GACAUAUGUACAGUGAGACAAAACGAUGACUGCAUCGACGGCGAAUCCUUCAGAGAUGAUAGUUUAUAUCUGCGUCCUUUUUGUACAAGAGAGUACAGAAUACAUCCUGUGUCCAACUAAUGCAGAGGAUAUUCAAGCUGCCAACACACUGAUGUGAAGAACCCUUUCCAGAGAAAUAUAGAAAGAAAUGACUGUGAAUCUUGUGUUGGGGAGGAUUCAGUGUCUGUUGAGGCACAUGUGAAUGUGUUAUAAAGUGAGUAUCAGAAACACAUCCAGACACAUGGACUGUCAAAGACCACAUGACAGGAACAUGCUCCUGGAGACGCUGAGAAAGCACAGAAGGAAUCUCUGUGGAGGAUGUACUCAAAUAAUAUACAUACUUCAGGACACCUGCUGGAGUGAGUAUAUUAAAGAAAAAACUCAUCAACUGUAAAAUAUAGUUUUCGGGUAAUAUUAUUCUGUACCUUUUUAGCCCAUCUGUAAAAAAUGUA